AAUCAACGCUGGCGGCGUGCCUAACACAUGCAAGUUGAGCGCUUGAGGGGGGCAACCCCCAAGAGAGCAGCGAACGGGUGAGUAACGCGUGGGUGAUCUUCCUUCGAGUGGGGAACAACAUCGGGAACUGGUGCUAAUUCCGCAUAAUAUCCUCGGGCCACGAGCCUGGGGAUCAAAGCCGGGACCGCAAGGCCUGGCGCUUGAAGAUGAGCCCGCGUCCGAUUAGCUAGUUGGCGGGGUAAUGGCCCACCAAGGCUCCGAUCGGUAGCCGGCCUGAGAGGGCGGACGGCCACACUGGAACUGAGACACGGUCCAGACUCCUACGGGAGGCAGCAGUGGGGAAUUUUUCGCAAUGGGCGCAAGCCUGACGAAGCAACGCCGCGUGGAGGAUGAAGGUCUUCGGAUUGUAAACUCCUGUCGACCGGGACGAAUGCACUCGACCUAAUACGUCGGAAUGUUGACGGUACCGGUGGAGGAAGCCACGGCUAACUCUGUGCCAGCAGCCGCGGUAAU
rnacentral:rRNA from 1 species